rnacentral:rRNA from 1 species
UACGAAGGGAGCUAGCGUUGUUCGGAAUUACUGGGCGUAAAGCGCACGUAGGCGGAUUUGUCAGUCAGGGGUGAAAUCCCGGGGCUCAACCUCGGAACUGCCUUUGAUACAGCAAGUCUUGAGUUCGAGAGAGGUGGGUGGAAUUCCUAGUGUAGAGGUGAAAUUCGUAGAUAUUAGGAAGAACACCGGUGGCGAAGGCGGCCCACUGGCUCGAUACUGACGCUGAGGUGCGAAAGCGUGGGGAGCAAACAGG